GGGAACGUACCCUUCGGUUCGGAAUAACGCUGGGAAACUAGCGCUAAUACCGGAUACGCCCUUAUGGGGAAAGGUUUACUGCCGAAGGAUCGGCCCGCGUCUGAUUAGCUAGUUGGUGGGGUAAUGGCCUACCAAGGCGACGAUCAGUAGCUGGUCUGAGAGGAUGAUCAGCCACACUGGGACUGAGACACGGCCCAGACUCCUACGGGAGGCAGCAGUGGGGAAUAUUGGACAAUGGGCGCAAGCCUGAUCCAGCCAUGCCGCGUGAGUGAUGAAGGCCUUAGGGUUGUAAAGCUCUUUUGUCCGGGACGAUAAUGACGGUACCGGAAGAAUAAGCCCCGGCUAACUUCGUGCCAGCAGCCGCGGUAAUACGAAGGGGGCUAGCGUUGCUCGGAAUCACUGGGCGUAAAGGGCGCGUAGGCGGCCGAUUAAGUCGGGGGUGAAAGCCUGUGGCUCAACCACAGAAUUGCCUUCGAUACUGGUUGGCUUGAGACCGGAAGAGGACAGCGGAACUGCGAGU
rnacentral:rRNA from 1 species